AACAGUGGAAAUCGCGGUAGGCAGUCGCGAUCUUGCUCGCGCUGGAGCGCCAACGAAGGGAAGGAUCGUCCUCUCCAUAUCGCUAUCCUCGCAACAUUUUCACAUUCCUUCUCUCUCGAGAUGCUCCAGGGACUGGCAUGAUCUCAGUGAUCCCAGUGAAGCCACAAUCUUGUAAACAAGGGGAUUGUUUCGCUCCGCUUCUAUUCUCACGCCCGGAUCUCGUUGAGAGCGCAUACAAACUCCGGGCCCCUGUAUGCUAGAGCCAAAUUGCCACCCGCGGCGGCAAAGAAGCGCGAUCCUUGCCCUAGCGCGCAUCCGCGGCGGCGGCACGCAUCCAAGGCGCCGGCCAGCGACCGGGAUCGGCAUCGAAAUUCUCAGGUCAGGGCUUGGAUCGUAGCUCCGGGGAUGGAUUCCGGGGGUUAGGGAUUGCUGCUGGCUAUGCGGCGGCUGUGCCGGCUUGGCGACACUGAGAUCAAUGGUGCGGAGCCACGGCUGGCAGCUGCCUGCGCACGGGUUUCAGGUUGUGGCGAUCACUGUGUUCUUCCCCCUCGUAGUCGCGUACUUCGUGUUUUUCGCGCCUUUCAUUGGGCCCAAUCCGUGGCAGUAUAUCGUAAUUGGGUGUUACUCGGUCUUGGCACUUGUGGUGUUCUUUCUUUACGUCAGAUGCACGGGAAUCAAUCCUGCGGACUCUAGCAAGUACCUGAGCUAAACUUCUUUGCAAAAACAGAUCGUGGAUUUGGCAACCUUGACAGGAGCGUGCAUUAUCGCGUUGGGCAACGAGAUUGGAGGCAUGUUUACUCCCAGCGACGAACUCGCGGACGAACUGUCCCAAGCGUCAAGCGCCGCCGGAGAGAAGCUAUGGCGGAUAGAUGAUGAAGUUGGGAAUCGCGGACAUGGUGAACACGGGUGGACGUCCUGGCGGAUCCAUAACGGCGUCGCUCUUCUUGAAACAGUUUGUCGAUGAGAAAAUCCCUUGGGCUCAUCUCGACAUCGCCGGACCCGUGUGGAACGAGAAGAAGAAAAUGGCGACUGGAUUCGCUGUGGGGACCUUGGUGGAAUGGGUUUCGAAGCACGCAUCCUCCUCGUAAAGUAAAAAAAAAGAGGUUGGUUUUUCCCACAGCAGGAUUGUUUCUUGAGGCUCAUUUUUGCUCGGUCGUUAAUCCCGAAAUUAGCAUAUUCUUUGAUCCA